UAGGGAAUCUUCCGCAAUGGACGAAAGUCUGACGGAGCAACGCCGCGUGAGUGAUGAAGGCUUUCGGGUCGUAAAACUCUGUUGUUAGGGAAGAACAAGUGCUAGUUGAAUAAGCUGGCACCUUGACGGUACCUAACCAGAAAGCCACGGCUAACUACGUGCCAGCAGCCGCGGUAAUACGUAGGUGGCAAGCGUUAUCCGGAAUUAUUGGGCGUAAAGCGCGCGCAGGUGGUUUCUUAAGUCUGAUGUGAAAGCCCACGGCUCAACCGUGGAGGGUCAUUGGAAACUGGGAGACUUGAGUGCAGAAGAGGAAAGUGGAAUUCCAUGUGUAGCGGUGAAAUGCGUAGAGAUAUGGAGGAACACCAGUGGCGAAGGCGACUUUCUGGUCUGUAACUGACACUGAGGCGCGAAAGCGUGGGGAGCAAACAGGAUUAGAUACCCUGGUAGUCCACGCCGUAAACGAUGAGUGCUAAGUGUUAGAGGGUUUCCGCCCUUUAGUG
rnacentral:rRNA from 1 species